CCCGUACACCAGAGCCACGUUGUGCUUCACCGUGAGCCUGCGCAUUCAUCACCCUCGUUCGUCUGCCUUGCCGAACAUGUUGCCUGGAACGCAGCCCCUUGCAUGACAGAGGAGGAGGUGUGAAGGAAUAUGGCGCUGCUGCCGUCGCCGAUGCAUCGUUGAUGCGUGUCUGUGUGUGUGUGUGUGUGUGUGUUUAUGUUGCUGUUGUCAUUUUUGUUUUCUUCGCCCCAUCGUAGCGGUGUGUGGCAGUGCGUGCAACCGACGGUGCUGCUGAGCGCCACUGUGUUCGAGUUUCGCCGUCCGCCCGCCUCAAUCUCACGCCGGCUCUCUGCGCCUUUUCGUUAUGUGCUUGCUCGUCCUCACGCUCAUGUGGAGAUCGUCAGUUGCGAUGAUGAUGUGCCGUGGCGAGGGCGGUUUUGGCUCACAAAGCCCUCUCCCUCUCUCUCAUGCUUUCACGGUCUCCCGUCUUUCUUGUUUCCCUCCCCCCCCCCAAUCCUAUGCUCCUCUCACCUUGUUUCUGCCUGUGUGUGUAUGUGUAUGUGUGUGUGUGAGCGUGCGCGUGCACUUCUCGCGUGCUCCGCAUCUGUCUGUCCCUCUCGGGAUACGAUAUAAUGCAUGCGUCGUUGAUGACCCGUUCAGUCGUCCCCUUUUCAGGAGGCGACGGGGAGGCGAUCAUCAUCAUCCCGCUUCUUCUGUUUUCAUCAUCGUGAGCAUCUCGCUACCUCAUCAUUCUUGCUCGCAUGCUGAUCCCCUGCGUGUGCGUGUGUCUGUGCCUCUGAGUGUUGUUGCUGUUAAUGUUGCGUGUGUCGAUGUCGGAGCGAUAGGGAGAUGGAGGGCUCUGUAUCCUUCCGCCGUCACGGACAACACCGCCCUAGUGUUUGUUGUUGUUCUUUCUCGGCUACCCUCUCUUGCUUUCUGAAGUACCCACUUUCUCUAACCUCGCGGCUUGCGUGGGCCUGCCUGUCGUCCUGCCUUCAUUCGUUAGCGCACUGCUGCCGUCAUGUCCAUCUCGCCUCUCCAUAUCUAUAUAUAGAUAUCGGUUCAUGUGCGCCUGCGUGUUUGAGUGAAGCGAAAGUUGUGCUGGCAACGCACUUGGCCACAGCAAGACACCCUACUGGCAUCACCGCAGAUGCAGUGUGUGUGUGUGAGCGACGCACACACGUGCGUCCGCGAGCCGCUUCUUCCCUUCGUCCUCCCAUCCUUUCUGGCGUUGCGUUUUCUUUUACGUGCACCGUCUGUCGAGCGUUGCAGUGGAAGGGGGUUGCAGGACAGCACGCAAGUCGCCGUCGGUGGUGGUGCUAACAAGACCGGCAGCCCCAGCUCGGAAGAUGAUGCGCCGAUGAGUAUGUUGAUAUGACGCGAUACUUCGUUUG
rnacentral:misc_RNA from 1 species